UACGGGGGGGGUAAGCGUUGUUCGGAAUUACUGGGCGUAAAGGGCUCGUAGGCGGCCAACUAAGUCAUACGUGAAAUCCCUCAGCUUAACUGGGGAACUGCGUGUGAUACUGGAUGGCUUGGAUUUGGGAGAGGGAUGCGGAAUUCCAGGUGUAGCGGUGAAAUGCGUAGAUAUCUGGAGGAACACCGGUGGCGAAGGCGGCCCACUGGGUCUUUUCUGACGCUGAGGGACGAAAGCUAGGGGAGCGAACGGG
rnacentral:rRNA from 1 species